GUCUCUAUUAUUUUUCCUUUCUCUUUCCAUGUUUUUUUUUUCUUUAUUUUAUAUCUGGUUCUUUGUGAGGCUUCGUUUUCUUUACUUUCUGUUUGAAGUUUAGAUCUCAAAAAGCAACGAAUCCCGAAUCUAAUAAGUUACUUUGGAUUCAUCCUCCAACCAUUGACUUUAUCUUGUUUCGGCAGAAACUUCAACACUUGGCUUCACAUGACAUGACACACUCGGAAUCUAAAACCACCAUAGCUCCACUCUUCUACUGCCACUUGCUUGCGAAGUUGGAACAACCAUGAUGCUCCACUCAGCUUUUCUAUCAUCUGGCUUUGUUGUUCACAUAUUGCUCCAAAGCGUGUUCACUCAAAAACUGUUGAUCAAUACUCACAGUUCUUGACAAUUACUAGUUUGGAUGGGAAGGACAAACAUUGAUUUGGGUUUCUGUUAAUGGCAUCUAUUAGAAGAACUUUGUCUCCAGUGCCUCGAGCCGGAGGCGUGGCUAAUCUAGAAGUGUGUUCAGUAGGAUCUCCCUUGUCUAAGUCCUCGUCGAGUCCUCAUAGCUCAGCGUUCGUGCUCGGCGUUUUCUCGCCGAGAUCUUUGAGGGCACUUGAGAGGUCAAAGCCAAAGGGCCAGCUCUGGAGGAAAGUGCUUUUGCAUUUUUUCAUUUGCUUCAUGAUUGGUGUUUCCAUUGGAUUCAUCCCUCUUGCAUCAAGGAACUUGUCCACUAGUCUCAUGCCAAAGCACCAAGCAUUCUCUUUUGAAAAUACCAAGAUAGAUUUGACUUCAUCAAUUAAUGAGACCACGGAAUUUAAUGCUACUUUGAAUUUAGCUGUGAAAGAACAGCAACAGAUAGAUAAAGUGAGAAAUGAUGUUUCCAAUGACAAAUUACUCAAUGAAGAGCCAUAUUUGGAGUCUCAGAAGCUUCUCAUAAUUGUGACCCAAACAGUAACCAAUCCGUUUCAAGCAUAUUAUUUGCAUCGGUUGGCGCAGACUUUGAAAUUGGUCUCGCCUCCAUUGUUGUGGAUUGUUGUUGAGAUGACUUCCCAAUCUGAAGAAACUGCUGAAAUCUUGAGGAGUAGUGGGAUUAUGUAUAGGCAUCUCGUUUGCAAGUCGAAUGUAACAGACACGAGCCUACAGGGCAUUCUUCAAAGAAAUGUUGCGCUGUCUCACAUUGAAACUCACCGGCUUGAUGGAAUUGUUUACUUUGCAGAUGUUGAUAACAUCUAUUCAGUCGAGAUCUUUCAGCAAAUCAGAGAGAUAAGGCGGUUCGGAACAUGGACUGUAGCAAAACUAUCAGGGGAUAAAGGUAGCAUUGUCUUACAAGGGCCUGUUUGUGAUGGAGCUCGAGUAAUCGGAUGGCAUGUCAAUGAAUCGAAUAGGAGAUCGAAAAGAUUUCACAUUGAGAUGCCAGGUUUUGCCUUCAAUAGUACGAUACUCUGGGAUCCAAAGAGGUGGCACAGACCUACACUUGAACCUAUCAGGCAGCUAGACUCAGUUAAGGAAAGUUUUCGGGUUAGCACAUUGAUCGAGCAAGUGGUCGAAGACGAAAGCCAAAUGGAAGGCUUAAUGAACAAUUGCUCUAGUGUUAUGGUCUGGCAUAUUGAUCUUGAACCAUCUCAUUCUUUCUAUCCACAGAAAUGGAUGAUCAAGAACUACCUAGAUGUCAUUCUUCCACUUGUGUGAUAUUCUUGAUAAAGAAGCAAUCAAGCAGAAAAUCUGCAUAUUUAAUGAUUGCCUUUGAUAGCUAAAGGGAAAAAUAUGAAGAAUUAUGGUGAAUGUUGGUAGUGGCACAAUUGUGAGUUAUGAAAGGACUCCUACAAGUAGUUCAUAGUUCAUUGUAUUCCCCCUAAAAUGUACAUUAUAUCAGAGUUUGUAUUAGUAGUCCUUGUUCAUUCAACAUUUGGAGCAUGUUUCUCAAUUGUAAGAGUUCAUUGCAGUGCCAUAAGGAAAGGAAUGUUCCAUUGGCCCUUUUGGUUC